UACGGGGGGGGCAAGCGUUGUUCGGAAUUACUGGGCGUAAAGGGUUUGUAGGUGGCCCGCUAAGUCACACGUGAAAUCCCUCAGCUUAACUGGGGAACUGCGUGUGAAACUGGCAGGCUCGAGGGCAGGAGAGGAACGCGGAAUUCCAGGUGUAGCGGUGAAAUGCGUAGAUAUCGAGAGGAACACCUGCGGCGAAGGCGGGUUGCUGGGCCGACACUGACGCUGAUGCGCGAAAGCCAGGGGAGCGAACGGG
rnacentral:rRNA from 1 species